UACGAAGGGGGCUAGCGUUGCUCGGAAUUACUGGGCGUAAAGCGCACGUAGGCGGAUCUUUAAGUCAGGGGUGAAAUCCUGGAGCUCAACUCCAGAACUGCCUUUGAUACUGAGGACCUUGAGUUCGGGAGAGGUGAGUGGAACUGCGAGUGUAGAGGUGAAAUUCGUAGAUAUCGGGAAGAACACCCGUGGCGAAGGCGGCUCUCUGGGACGGUACUGACGCUGAGACGCGAAAGCGUGGGGAGCGAACAGG
rnacentral:rRNA from 1 species